AAUACUGUUUGAUCCUGGCUCAGAACGAACGCUGGCGGCGCGCCUAACACAUGCAAGUCGAACGAGAAUCCGGGGCAACCCGGUAGUAAAGUGGCAAACGGGUGAGGAAUACAUGGGUAACCUGCCCUCGAGAAGGGAAUAACCCGCCGAAAGGUGAGCUAAUACCCUAUACGCUCCUUUUUCUAAGGAAAGAGAAGGAAAGCUAAGUCGUGGACUUGGCACUCAAGGAGGGGCUCAUGUCCUAUCAGCUUGUUGGUGGGGUAACGGCCUACCAAGGCAACGACGGGUAGCUGGUCUGAGAGGAUGAUCAGCCACACUGGCACUGAGAUACGGGCCAGACUCCUACGGGAGGCAGCAGUGAGGAAUAUUGCGCAAUGGGCGAAAGCCUGACGCAGCGACGCCGCGUGGGGGAUGAAGGUUUUCGGAUUGUAAACCCCUUUCGUGAGGAAAGAUAAAGUGGGUAACCACUUAGACGGUACCUCAAGAAGAAGCCACGGCUAACUUCGUGCCAGCAGCCGCGGUAAUACGAAGGUGGCAAGCGUUGUUCGGAUUUACUGGGCGUAAAGAGCACGUAGGCGGUUGGGUAAGCCUCUUGGGAAAUCUCCCGGCUUAACCGGGAAAGGUCGAGGGGAACUACUCAGCUAGAGGACGGGAGAGGAGCGCGGAAUUCCCGGUGUAGCGGUGAAAUGCGUAGAUAUCG
rnacentral:rRNA from 1 species